GUGCACACUUCGGCAACACAUAUACUAAAAUUGGAACAAUACAAAGAAGAUUCGCAUGGCCCCUGCACAAAAAUUAUAAUGAGCAUAGAAACAAAUAUCUUACAUAU